rnacentral:rRNA from 1 species
AUGACGAAGACGAUGCCGCGUGACUCUUCAGCGAGUGGAGCGUUGGUGCCGAGCGACUCGGCGGCGAUGGCGGCUGCCGCGACGGCGGCGACGACGGCGGCAGCGGGGAAGCUCCCAUUCCCGCUGCUCACGAGGACGAACUACGCGGCAUGGGCGAUGAGGAUGAAGUACCUCUUGCGCGCCAAUGGCGCGUGGGGUGCCGUUGAUCGCGAGGCCUCAUCGGAGGUCGACAAGGGCAAGGAGGAGAUGGCCAUGACGAUCAUCUCCCAGUCCAUCGAUGACUCGACGCUGCUGCGGGUUGCGGAGAAGGAGACCGCAGCCGAUGUGUGGGCGGCGCUACGCUCCAUGCAUGUGGGCGUCGAGCGCGUCCGAGAGGCGAGGGUUCAAUCCUUGCGCUCGGAAUUUGAUGGCCUCAAGAUGGGUGAUGCGGAGUCCGUGGAUGAUUUCGCGGCGAGGUUCACGACGCUCGUGGGGCGCAUCCGUGAGCUUGGUGAUGCGAUGGAGGAGAAGUACGUCGUGAAGAAGCUGCUCCGAUCCGUUUCCAACAAGUUCAUCCAUGUUGCGUCGUCAAUUGCGUUGUUCGGCGACACCAACAAGAUGGCCAUGGAGGAGGCCAUUGGUUCACUCAAGGCACACGAGGAACUCGUCAAGGGGCAUGAGACGGGACGCGAAGAAGAGCAGCUCCUCAUGGCGAGAGGACACGACUCGUCGCGAGGACGGGGUCGUGGCCGUGGACGCGGUGGAGGGCGUAGAGACAAAAGUGAGGUACAGUGUUACAAUUGCCGCAAACUUGGUCACUUCGCUUGGGAGUGUCCCGAGAAGAAGGAGAACGAGGAGGAGAAGGCGCUGCUGGGACAGUACGUCGACGACGAGCCAGCUCUCCUUUGA